rnacentral:rRNA from 1 species
CGAACGCUGGCGGCGUGCCUAAUACAUGCAAGUAGAACGCUGAAGGAGGAGCUUGCUUCUCUGGAUGAGUUGCGAACGGGUGAGUAACGCGUAGGUAACCUGCCUGGUAGCGGGGGAUAACUAUUGGAAACGAUAGCUAAUACCGCAUAAGAGUAGAUGUUGCAUGACAUUUACUUAAAAGGUGCAAUUGCAUCACUACCAGAUGGACCUGCGUUGUAUUAGCUAGUUGGUGAGGUAACGGCUCACCAAGGCAACGAUACAUAGCCGACCUGAGAGGGUGAUCGGCCACACUGGGACUGAGACACGGCCCAGACUCCUACGGGAGGCAGCAGUAGGGAAUCUUCGGCAAUGGACGGAAGUCUGACCGAGCAACGCCGCGUGAGUGAAGAAGGUUUUCGGAUCGUAAAGCUCUGUUGUAAGAGAAGAACGAGUGUGAGAGUGGAAAGUUCACACUGUGACGGUAUCUUACCAGAAAGGGACGGCUAACUACGUG